UACGUAGGGUGCAAGCGUUGUCCGGAAUUAUUGGGCGUACAGAGCUCGUAGGCGGUUUGUCGCGUCUGCUGUGAAAACCCGAGGCUCAACCUCGGGCCUGCAGUGGGUACGGGCAGACUAGAGUGCGGUAGGGGAGAUUGGAAUUCCUGGUGUAGCGGUGGAAUGCGCAGAUAUCAGGAGGAACACCGAUGGCGAAGGCAGAUCUCUGGGCCGUAACUGACGCUGAGGAGCGAAAGCAUGGGGAGCGAACAGG
rnacentral:rRNA from 1 species